rnacentral:rRNA from 1 species
AGAGUUUGAUCCUGGCUCAGGAUGAACGCUGGCGGCGUGCCUAACACAUGCAAGUCGAGCGAUUUACUUCGGUAAAGAGCGGCGGACGGGUGAGUAACGCGUGGGUAACCUGCCCUAUACACACGGAUAACAUACCGAAAGGUAUGCUAAUACGAGAUAAUAUAAGAGAUUCACAUGGAUUUCUUAUCAAAGCUGAGGCGGUAUAGGAUGGACCCGCGUCUGAUUAGCUAGUUGGUAAGGUAACGGCUUACCAAGGCGACGAUCAGUAGCCGACCUGAGAGGGUGAUCGGCCACAUUGGAACUGAGACACGGUCCAAACUCCUACGGGAGGCAGCAGUGGGGAAUAUUGCACAAUGGGCGAAAGCCUGAUGCAGCAACGCCGCGUGAGUGAUGAAGGCCUUCGGGUCGUAAAACUCUGUCCUCAGGGAAGAUAAUGACGGUACUUGAGGAGGAAGCCCCGGCUAACUACGUGCCAGCAGCCGCGGUAAUACGUAGGGGGCUAGCGUUAUCCGGAUUUACUGGGCGUAAAGGGUGCGUAGGUGGUCUCUUAAGUCAGGAGUGAAAGGCUACGGCUUAACCGUAGUAAGCUCUUGAAACUGGGAGACUUGAGUGCAGGAGAGGAAAGUGGAAUUCCUAGUGUAGCGGUGAAAUGCGUAGAUAUUAGGAGGAACACCAGUAGCGAAGGCGGCUUUCUGGACUGUAACUGACACUGAGGCACGAAAGCGUGGGGAGCAAACAGGAUUAGAUACCCUGGUAGUCCACGCCGUAAACGAUGAGUACUAGGUGUCGGGGGUUACCCCCCUCGGUGCCGCAGCUAACGCAUUAAGUACUCCGCCUGGGGAGUACGCUCGCAAGAGUGAAACUCAAAGGAAUUGACGG